AGCUCCAAUAGCGUAUAUUAAAGUUGUUGCAGUUAAAAGCUCGUAGUUGGAUUUCUGGUGGGAACGUUUGGCCGGCCGUAACGGUUUGUGCUGAAAUGUUUUUCGCCAUCCUUGACGAAUACUGGUUCGCCAUUAAGUUGUGUGAGCUUGGAGUCGUCAUCGUUUACUGUGAAAAAUUAGAGUGUUCAAAGCAGGCUUAUGCCGUUGAAUACAUUAGCAUGGAAUAAUAAGAUAGGACCCUGGUACUAUUUUGUUGGUUUGCGUACCUAGGUAAUGAUUAAUAGGGACAGUUGGGGGUAUUUGUAUUCCAUUGUCAGAGGUGAAAUUCUUGGAUUUAUGGAAGACAAACUACUGCGAAAGCAUUUACCAAGGAUGUUUUCA
rnacentral:rRNA from 1 species